ACCCAUGGGGUCAGGAAGACAUGGGGCCACCAUGGGGUCAGGAGGACGUGGGGCCACCAUGGGACCACCAGGACAGAGAGCUAUGGGGCCAGGAGGACGUGGGGCCACCAUGGGACCACCAUGGGGUCAGGAGGACGUGGGGUCACCAUGGGACCACCAUGGGGUCAGGAGGACGUGGGCCACCAUGGGACCACCAUAGGGUCAGGAAGACAUGGGGCCACCAUGGGGUCAGGAGGACGUGGGGCCACCAUGGGACCACCAUGGGACCACCAUGGGACCACCAGGACACACAGAGCCAUGGGGUCAGGAGGAUAUGGGGCCACCAGGAGGACACACAGCUAUGGGGUCAGGAGGAUAUGAGGCCACCACCAUGGGGUCAGGAGGACAUGGGGCCACCAUGGGACCACCAUGGGACAGGAUGUCCUGGGGAGAGGGGGGAGAAAAGGGGGGGUGGGUGGUCAGCAUCACUGCAACGCAUGGAGAUAUGGGGAGGUCACCAUGGGGCCACCAUGGGGUCAGGAAGACAUGGGGCCACCCAUGGGGUCAGGAAGACAUGGGGCCACCAUGGGGUCAGGAGGACGUGGGGCCACCAUGGGACCACCAGGACAGAGAGCUAUGGGGCCAGGAGGACGUGGGGCCACCAUGGGACCACCAUGGGGUCAGGAGGACGUGGGGUCACCAUGGGACCACCAUGGGGUCAGGAGGACGUGGGGCCACCAUGGGACCACCAUAGGGUCAGGAAGACAUGGGGCCACCAUGGGGUCAGGAGGACGUGGGGCCACCAUGGGACCACCAUGGGACCACCAUGGGACCACCAGGACACACAGAGCCAUGGGGUCAGGAGGAUAUGGGGCCACCAGGAGGACACACAGCUAUGGGGUCAGGAGGAUAUGAGGCCACCACCAUGGGGUCAGGAGGACAUGGGGCCACCAUGGGACCACCAUGGGACAGGAUGUCCUGGGGAGAGGGGGGAGAAAAGGGGGGGGUGGGUGGUCAGCAUCACUGCAACGCAUGGAGAUAUGGGGAGGUCACCAUGGGGCCACCAUGGGGUCAGGAAGACAUGGGGCCACCAUGGGGUCAGGAGGAUAUGGGGCCACCAGGACAUACAGCUAUGGGGUCAGGAGGACGUGGGGCCACCAUGGGGUCAGGAGGAUAUGGGGCCACCAUGGGGUCAGGAGGACAUGGGGCCACCAUGGGACCACUAUGGGGCCACCAUGGGGUCAGGAGGACAUGGGACCACCAUGGGGUCAGGAGGACAUGGGGCCACCAUGGGACCACCAGGACACACAGUUAUGGGGUCAGGAGGAGGAUGUGGGGCCACCAUGGGACCACCAUGGGGUCAGGAGGACAUGGGGCCACCAUGGGACCACCAUGGGGUCAGGAGGACGUGGGGCCACCAUGGGGUCAGGAGGACAUGGGGGCACCAUGGCACCACCAGGACACAGAGAGCUAUGGGGUCAGGAGGAUAUGGGGCCACCACCAUGGGGUCAGGAGGACGUGGGGCCACCAUGGGGUCAGGAGGACGUGGGGCCACCACUAUGGGGUCAGGAGGACGUGGGGCCACCACCAUGGGGUCAGGAGGAUACGAGGCCACCACCAUGGGGUCAGGAGGAUAUGGGGCCACCACCAUGGGGUCAGGAGGAUAUGGGGCCACCAUGGGGUCAGGAGGACAUGGGGCCACCAUGGGGUCAGGAGGACACACAGCUAUGGGGUCAGGAGGACGUGGGGCCACCACAAUGGGGUCAGGAGGAUACGGGGCCACCACAAUGGGGUCAGGAGGAUACGGGGCCACCAUGGGCUCAGGAGGAUAUGGGACCACCAGGACACGCAGCUAUGGGGUCAGGAGGAUAUGAGGCCACCACUAUGGGGUCAGGAGGAUAUGGGGCCACCAUAGGACCACCGGGACACAGAGCUAUGGGGUCAGGAGGAUAUGAGGCCACCACCAUGGGGUCAGGAGGAUACGGGGCCACCACUAUGGGGUCAGGAGGACGUGGGGCCACCAUGGGACCACCAUGGGGUCAGGAGGACGUGGGGCCACCAUGGGGCCACUGGAACACACAGCUAUGGGGUCAGGAGGAUACGGGGCCACCACCAUGGGGUCAGGAGGAUACGGGGCCACCAGGACACACAGCUAUGGGGUCAGGAGGACGUGAGGCCACCAUGGGACCACUAUGGGGCCACCAUGGGGUCAGGAAGACAUGGGGCCACCAUGGGGUCAGGAGGAGGAUGUGGGGCCACCAUGGGACCACUAUGGGGUCAGGAGGACAUGGGACCACCACCAUGGGGUCAGGAGGACGUGGGGCCACCACCAUGGGGUCAGGAGGACGUGGGGCCACCAUGGGACCACUAUGGGGUCAGGAGGAUACGGGGCCACCACGACACACAGCUAUGGGGUCAGGAGGACGUGAGGCCACCAUGGGACCACCAGGACACACAGCUAUGGGGUCAGGAGGAUAUGGGACCACCAGGACACACAGCUAUGGGGUCAGGAGGACGUGAGGCCACCAUGGGACCACUAUGGGGCCACCAUGGGGUCAGGAGGACAUGGGGCCACCAUGGGACCACUAUGGGGUCAGGAGGAAAUGGGGCCACCAUGGGGUCAGGAGGAUAUGGGGCCACCACUAUGGGGUCAGGAGGAUAUGGGGCCACCACCAUGGGGUCAGGAGGAUACGAGGCCACCACCAUGGGGUCAGGAGGACGUGGGGCCACCACCAUGGGGUCAGGAGGACGUGGGGCCACCACUAUGGGGUCAGGAGGAUACGGGGCCACCACCAUGGGGUCAGGAGGACGUGGGGCCACCACUAUGGGGUCAGGAGGACAUGGGGCCACCAUGGGACCACCAGGACACACAGCUAUGGGGUCAGGAGGACGUGGGACCACCACAAUGGGGUCAGGAGGACGUGGGACCACCACCAUGGGGUCAGGAGGACGUGGGGCCACCACUAUGGGGUCAGGAGGACGUGGGGCCACCAUGGGGUCAGGAGGAGGAUGUGGGGCCACCAUGGGACCACUAUGGGGUCAGGAGGACAUGGGGCCACCACUAUGGGGUCAGGAGGACAUGGGGCCACCAUGGGACCACCAGGACACACAGCUAUGGGGUCAGGAGGAUAUGGGGCCACCAUGGGGUCAGGAGGACAUGGGGCCACCAUGGGACCACCAUGGGGUCACCAUGGGACCACCAGGACACACAGCUAUGGGGUCAGGAGGAUAUGAGGCCACCACCAUGGGGUCAGGAGGAUAUGGGGCCACCAGUAGGACACACAGCUAUGGGGUCAGGAGGAUAUGGGGCCACCAGUAGGACAGAGAGCUAUGGGGUCAGGAGGAUAUGAGGCCACCAUGGGGUCAGGAGGACUUGGGGCCACCACCAUGGGGUCAGGAGGACAUGGGGCCACCAUGGGACCACCAGGACACACAGCUAUGGGGUCAGGUGGACAUGGGGCCACCAUGGGACCACCAUGGGGUCAGGAGGACGUGGGGCCACCAGGACACACAGCUAUGGGGUCAGGAGGAUAUGGGGCCACCAUGGGACCACCAUGGGGUCACCAUGGGACCACCAGGACACACAGCUAUGGGGUCAGGAGGACGUGGGGCCACCACCAUGGGGUCAGGAGAAUAUGGGGCCACCAGUAGGACACACAGCUAUGGGGUCAGGAGGAUAUGGGGCCACCAGUAGGACAGAGAGCUAUGGGGUCAGGAGGAUAUGAGGCCACCAUGGGGUCAGGAGGAUAUGGGGCCACCAGGAAGACACACAGCUACGGGGUCAGGAGGAUAUGAGGCCACCACCAUGGGGUCAGGAGAAUAUGGGGCCACCAUGGGGUCAGGAGGACAUGGGGCCACCAUGGGACCACCAUGGGACAGGAUGUCCUGGGGAGAGGGGGGGAGAAAAGGGGGGGGGGGUGGUCAGCAUCACCGCAACGCAUGGAGAUAUGGGGACAGGAAGGGGGGUGGGAGGUCACCAUGGGGCCAGCGGGAUGCCCAGGGCUAUGGGGUCAGAAGGAUGUGGGGCCACCACCAUGGGACCACCAUGGGACCACCAGGACACAGAGCUAUGGGGUCAGGAGGACAUGGGGCCACCAUGGGACCACUAUGGGGUCAGGAGGACAUGGGGCCACCACAAUGGGGUCAGGAGGACAUGGGGCCACCACCAUGGGGUCAGGAGGAUAUGGGGCCACCACCAUGGGGUCAUGAGGAUAUGAGGCCACCACAAUGGGGUCAGGAGGAUACGGGGCCACCACCAUGGGGUCAGGAGGAUAUGGGGCCACCAUGGGGUCAGGAGGACGUGGGGCCACCACAAUGGGGUCAGGAGGAUACGGGGCCACCACCAUGGGGUCAGGAGGAUACGGGGCCACCAGGACACACAGCUAUGGGGUCAGGAGGACGUGAGGCCACCAUGGGACCACCAGGACACACAGCUAUGGGGUCAGGAGGACAUGGGGUCACCAUGGGACCACCAUGGGGUCAGGAGGAUAUGGGGCCACCAUGGGGUCAGGAGGACAUGGGGCCACCAUGGGACCACCAGGACACACAGAGCCAUGGGGUCAGGAGGAUAUGGGGCCACCAGGAGGACACACAGCUAUGGGGUCAGGAGGAUAUGAGGCCACCACCAUGGGGUCAGGAAGACAUGGGGCCACCAUGGGACCACCAUGGGACCACCAGG
rnacentral:lncRNA from 7 species